rnacentral:rRNA from 1 species
CCUACGGGAGGCAGCAGUGGGGAAUCUUGCGCAAUGGGCGAAAGCCUGACGCAGCCAUGCCGCGUGAAUGAUGAAGGUCUUAGGAUUGUAAAAAUUCUUUCACCGGGGACGAUAAUGACGGUACCCGGAGAAGAAGCCCCGGCUAACUUCGUGCCAGCAGCCGCGGUAAUACGAAGGGGGCUAGCGUUGCUCGGAAUUACUGGGCGUAAAGGGAGCGUAGGCGGAUAGUUUAGUCAGAGGUGAAAGCCCAGGGCUCAACCUUGGAAUUGCCUUUGAUACUGGCUAUCUUGAGUAUGGGAGAGGUUAGCGGAACUCCGAGUGUAGAGGUGAAAUUCGUAGAUAUUCGGAAGAACACCAGUGGCGAAGGCGGCUAACUGGCCCAUUACUGACGCUGAGGCUCGAAAGCGUGGGGAGCAAACAGGAUUAGAUACCCUGGUAGUCCACGCCGUAAACGAUGAGUGCUAGUUGUCGGCAUGCAUGCAUGUCGGUGACGCAGCUACGACAUUAAGUACACUCCGCCGUCGGGGAGGUACGGUCGCGAGAUUAAACUACAAAGAAGUAGACGGCGUGAGACGUCGCCGACGGACGACGACGAGGGAGGUUAGG